GGAAUGAACAAGGGCAGCAUAGAGGUUAGAUGCAAGAUGAGUCAGUUAGGUCACAUCCCUUUUACUGUCAUACUUUUCUCACUCUUACAAUUUUUGCCAAGGCAAUUUCAUUAGAAUAAUCUGCUAACUAAGGGCUCUAUGUAAAGUUGCUGAUUUUCUUUAGAGGUUAGACGGAACUGGGUACCUAAUCUGCACAGGCCAGUGAAAUAUACAAAUGGAAAGCACUUGUUCAAUAAUUUUUAAGCAUUUCAGAUUGUGACAGCAGAGCAUUUAACAAGCAAGGGCCUCUCUAAGCAUUGGGCUCUGUGUGACUGCCCAUAUCACCUGCCCCUGAAGCCUGCCUUGAGGGCUUCACUGGAACAGAUAUGAUUAUAGCAAAUCACUCUGCCCACACCCGAGGCUGCAGCCAGAAACCACGGAAACUGACAGACGCCAGCAAAAAGAAAGAAAAAGUUAAGAAAUUUCUUACCAGUAAUCCUCCUUGGGUUUCUGCCUUAGGACUAGUCAGGUGGAAUCCUACUCUGUCGCCAGGCUGGAGUAUAGUGGUGUGAUCUUGGCUCACUGCAACCUCUGCCUCCCAGGUUCAAGCGAUUCCCCUGCCUCAGGCUCUGGAGUAGCAGCAGCUGGGACUACAGGUCAUAUGAAAUGAUCUGGCCUUCAUGCACAGGUGGACAACCAAAAGUUUAGGAGCCCCAAGAAUAUAGCCAAACAGAAAUGUGAGUUAUACCUCAUUUGCAGCUAGUGAAGUUUUGAUUUUUUGGCUGGUCUGUGGGAGUGGUCUGAAUCUUGGAAGAACUUCGUCUUUCUGUUUCGUCUUUGGAGUCCUUGGUUACAACCAUAGAGAGGCUACGUAGUUUGGUCUUGAGUCACUUGUUAAAUAUAUCUUUAGUUAAGAUUUUGGUUUAUAUUCAGAGAAUAAUUUUUUUUUUAACUUUUCCUUUUUCUGUUUGCUUCCUGCAUUCUCAUUUGAGCUAACAGGAAAUUUUAUAUUCAAAAGAAGAAAUUUGAUUAGUAAUUACCCUGAACUUCUAAAAACUUCCAUUAUUUCUUUGUCUUUUGAGAUGUAAAUUCUCUCUCCAGUCUUACCUGAGAAAUAAUUCCUUUUUAAAUGCAAAUUUCAAGGAAAGAAAAGCCAGGAAACAGAAGUGUUUGCUGUUUGUUUGGCUAAAACCUCUAAUGAGAUAUUUAAAGAUUUCUUUUUUAAGAGCUUUAUGGUCAAAAAUUAACUUAAUUAAAAGCUGAUAUUCAGGCUACAAUUUUUUUAAAAGCCUCCCUGCUUUUUCUGUUUUGGAUCCUGUUUCUACUAUGGAAUUUCUUUUAGUCCACAGAAGCUCCUUUUAAUUAUAUGUUCGUUCCUCUGUCUACUUCCUUUUUUGUUGGCAUGAUUUCUGCUGAGAAUAAUAUAAAACUUUAUCGACCUUUUUGAAAACUCCCCAGUUUGCUGCUUUAGGAUUUGUUCUUCCUUUUACCUCUGCCCCCAUUUCUUUUGUCAUCUUGAUACUCUUUGAGGAAGGAAGAAAAGGUGCCACUGACCCUCUUUUUCCUCCUCACGAAGCCUUAAGAGUGAGAAGUCAGUUCCUCUCAGGUCCAAGGCUCUAUUAUCUUUCAUAUGAAGCUCCCUAAUCUCCUGGCUCUUAGGAGGUGGAGUACCAAGGCUUGCUUUAUAACUGACAAGUCACUGGUAAGAGCUACAAUUUUAAAGGUAACUAACAAUGUUACAGCAACCAGUUAUUACGGCAGAAGGCAAAUUCUUACUUUCUACCUUCUUCAUUUCUUUGCAUGCUUAGGUAAGAAAAGACUCAGGUAUAUGACUAAGUCAGACCCAACUGACAAUCAGACAGUUAUUUGAAACAGGCUUCCGAAUUGUCUUUUAGGUUCAUCUGUAUGUAACCGCCCAAUAGGUUCACCUUGCCUAGACAGAACCGAUUUAUCAAGACAGGGAAAUUGCAAUAGAGAAAGAGUUUCAUUUACACAGAGCUGGCUGUACAGGAGACCAGAGUUUCAUUAUUACUCAAAUCAAUCUUUCUGGAAACAUGAGGAUCAGGGUUUUUGUAGAUAGUUCGGUGGGUAGAGGGUCAGAAAGUGGGGAUUGCUGAUUGGUUGGGUCAGAGGUGAAAUCCUAGGGAGUUGAAGCUGUUCUCUUGUGCUGAAUCUGUUCCUGUGUGGGGGCCACAAGACCAGAUGAGCCAGUUUUUGGAUCUGGGUAGUGCUAGCUGAUCCAUCAAGUGCAGGGUCUGCAAAAUAUCUCAAACAUUGAUCUUAGGUUUUACAAUAGUAAUGUUAUCCCAAGAAACAAUUUGGGAUGUUUAGAAUCUUGCAGCCUCCAACUGCAUGAUUCCUAAACCAUAAUUUCUAAUCUUUUACAUAAUCUGAUAGUCCUGCAAAGACAGUCUGGUCCCCCAGGCAGAAAGGGGGUUUGUUUGGGGAAAGGGCUGUUAUCACCUCUAUUUCAAUGCUAAACUAUAAACUAAGUGUCUCCCAAAAUUAGUUUGACCUAUGCCCAGGAAUGAACAAAGAUAGCUUGGAGGUUAGAAGCUAGAUGGAUUUGGUUAGGUCAAACCUCUUUCGCUAUAAUAAUUGUCUCAGUCAUAUUUUUUGCAAAGGCAGUUUCAUGUGUACUUUAUUGUAAAAUCCUCUAAUUCUUAUGAUUUUAUAUUACCUUAGCAUUCAUUUAAAAUCUUCCUCUUUGUCUCACCUAAAGCACCCAAAGCUCCUUGAGAAAACUUAUGUUCUUUCUCUAUGCCUUUGAGAUGUAAAUCUCUCACCCUGUCUUCUCUAGGACUUGAUAGCAUUCUUUUGAAAAAAACUAUAAGAUAUUUGUAUCUAUCUGUAUGAUUGUUUAUGUUUAUACACAUAUACAUCUAUGAUAUCUGUUGUGUCCACAUGAUACAAAAUCCCUUCGUUGAAUUUCAAAUUGAUUUAAAAGACAAAUGAACAUGCAUAUAUUAAAUACUUUAGGCUCCUAAAAUUAUAGAUACUAACUCAAAUUAUUUUCAAAUUCAUAUGAAUUGAAUACAUUUUUUGUAAAUAAAACUAGCUUAAUAUUGUUGGUUUAAAAAACAGUAAAUCAAAUAGAUAUGAGUGAGAUAAAGAUGUAUCUCUUUGAUAACUACAUCCUUAGAAUUUUGCUAAGUUAAAUUAAAUGAUGGCUAUUCAUUUAAUAUCUAGUUCAUUUCUAAAGAAGAUAAAAGAUUGAAACAUUAAUUGCUCAACAUAGGUUUCAGUUUAUUUACAUUUGGCAUCUUACAUUUUAUAGAAAGAUAAAAUAUAUUUGGGCUUGUUAGCAAAUAUGUCCUUUUCCACAUUGGAAAUAUGUUCUAUCAGGAAAUCUAUGUUUCUAGAAGUCAUUAAGUAUAUAGUCAUAAAAUGGGUUGGUAUGUGACUUUGAAGUUGCUUACUUCCUAGAUUUUCACUAGAAAUUAAGAUUAUUAGGAUUAUGUCACUGAAUAUUAAUAUAUAUACUUAAAACUACUAAUAAUAAAGGAAACAAUUCUGUAUACAAAAUAUACAGGCAAAUUAAGAUGUUAUAAGGUAUAAACGUGUUUUUGUUGAGGAAAGAAAUCAUUUUGUCUAGGUACAGGUUAUUUAAAGGUUGACUCAAAAUAAGUAAAUGGAGAUAAGAAUGACUGAGCUAAACCUGAAUAAAUAUAGAAGGUUGGGAAAAGAAAGACAGUGAAAAAAAAUCCUGUGUCGUUAAACUGAUAAAAAUUUACUAAAUUUAAUAUAAGGGUUUUAAAAUUGAGACUUAUCAUUAAUAGUACACUGAUACAAAACUAGAAAUUGCUUUUUAAGGAUAUUCAUGUAGUAUUAAUAAGAGAUAAUAAAAGCUUUAUGUUCACCUUUGGAGUAAAGGACAAAAAGAAAAAAAAAAUUAGGGAAAGAGAGAAACAUGUUAUAUGUGCCUCAGUUAUCUUUACUAGGCCUUUUGAUUAUUUAGGAAAACUGAAUUAAAGAUAAGUUUUUCUACAAAAAAUGUAACUUCCUGUAUUUGCUUCUAAAAUAUUUUAGUUAUUACCCUGAAUUACUAGCAUUUCAUAUUUCCCUGUGAUUCUAUUUUUUAUCAAGUGUUUUAAUCAUUUGAUAUUUAGUAAACUUCUCAAAAAUCAAAAUUUGGGGACCUUCUUUGGUCUUUUUGAUGCCAAAAUAACUCUUGGAGUGCCAGUGGGCUCCUGAACACCUAAAGCACAGACAUUAAACUAAUCAACCUGAUUCAAUGUUUCAAAUUAUAUGGAAAGCAUUGUCAGGUAAGUGAUGCUAAAUGUUCUGCAUGUGUUAUUAAUGUUAGUGUUCCAAAACUGUAUGGGAUUACUAAAAAUCUAGUAUGUUGUCAGUUAUAAUUUUUGGAUAUUAUGUUAAAUUUUACAUUCUACAGAACUUACCACAUUUAUUUGUCCUCUAUGGGUGAUAAUAAGCUACCAUAAGACCUUUAACCAUGGCUACUUUAAGUCUCAUUGUUCACAGUUAAUUGUUUUAUUCUGAUACUCUUUCUAAAAGUGCUUUGCAAUCAGCUACAGUCUAAAAUUUGCUUAUUUUUCAAGGAGAAUUAUGGGAAAGACCCUAACAAGUGCCCUUGAAUAUAGAUUUCUGAUAACUUUAGAAUCAUGUCAUUGGACUGUAUAAGAAUUUCCAGAACUCUUAUGAAGAAACUGAUGGGUUCAUAAAACUCCCAACCUAACACCAAGCAAAACAAGAAUUAAUUACAUUGUACUGAAAUAAUUUUUAUGCCUUUUUUUCAUUGUUUGAAGCAUUACUGAUUCUUUUUACGUUUUGUUUUCUAAAGUUAAGAAAACUUUUUUUCUUAAACUGUCUAUAGGUUUAUAGCAAUUUGGUAAUCUAUACUUUUGUGAGCAACAUUUAAACAUUUAUCUUUCUCUUUACCUGACCCCUCCAGAUUUCAGAAACUAUUUGUGAGUAUUCUUAUUUUAUGGCAGUAUGGUUAUUUGUAUAAGUUCAAUAAGAAUCUGUUCUCUUGUAUAACAGAACACAAUUAGAAACACUGGUCAUUUUACCAAGGUUUUGAGCAUAAUGUCAUACCUUUAAAAUUGACCAGUGUGCUUUAAGAUAUUAAGGUUGACUUUAUGGAACCAAUAAAAAGGUUCCUGGAAAAACUGGCCUGGCACCUUAAAUACACAAUUCACAUGGUUGUCUUACAGGGAGGUAAAGAGUGCCACUUCUUAGCAGCUUCUGAAACGUCAGGAUAUUUUGAGAACCUCAAGCAGAGAGGAAUUCAUCCAGAUACUACAGAUAUUGCAGGGAGAUUUCAAGGUCAUAUCUUUGACUUGGUUUCCUAGUCUUGAGAUGCUUUAAAAAGAAGUCUAAUUUGAGAUUUCUUAUAAAAAGUUUCAGCAAAGCAGACUUUAAAAAGAGCCUGUAAUACCAAUCACUAUUCUUGCUAAACCAUGUAAAUAAUCUGUAUAAAUAAACUAUGUAAAUAAUCACACCAAAGACUAACCUUAUUUUGCAACCAAAUUAGUCUUAACAUAGACAUCUUUGGUAGAAGUGGAGGUGGAAGUAGAGAAAAAAUCGUGUUUUAGAAUAAAAUUAUAGUACACCUGUUAUUAGAUUUUAGAUAAUUAUUUUUGAGAUUUUAUUUUUUAUUUGUUAUCUGGACUGAAUACCAAAUAUUUUUAAUUUCAUCGUGUAUCUGGCUAUAAAUCUCCAAAACAUCAUUUCCAUUUUUUUUUCAACCUUUUGACUUGGAAUCACUAAUAAUUAAAACUGUUUUUCCUGAGGUUCUACGAGCUAAAGUGAGUAUAGUUGAGAAACAGACUCCAGAGAAACCACCACAGUGGCCUGUGUUUAGACAACCUUUAUGACAUUUAAACAGCAAAGUAGAUAACUCUGUCAGAUUGCCAUUGAUUACCCUGGUCCAGCUGAAGUUGAUUCAGCCCAGAUUCAAAAAUCUUCUCCACUGGCUACCCUCCAAACUCAGAGACUAACUUAAAGAUUGCUGCAGACAUUAUUAACCUUUGUUUUUGUUUCCAAAUAAAAAUCUCUAGUAAAA